rnacentral:rRNA from 1 species
AUACGGGGGGCGCAAGCGUUAUUCGGAAUCACUGGGCGUAAAGAGUGCGUAGGCGUCCUAAUAAGUCAUCUGUGAAAGCCUGCGGCUUAACCGCAGAACUGCAGGUGAAACUGUUAGGAUAGAGUAUGGAAGAGGUAAGUGGAAUUUCUAGUGUAGGGGUAAAAUCCGUAGAUAUUAGAAGGAAUACCAAUGGCGAAGGCAACUUACUGGGACAUUACUGACGCUGAGGCACGAAAGCGUGGGGAGCAAACAGGAUUAGAUACCCGGGUAGUCC